CAGUUCGGAUUGUAGUCUGCAACUCGACUACAUGAAGCUGGAAUCGCUAGUAAUCGCGAAUCAGAAUGUCGCGGUGAAUACGUUCCCGGGUCUUGUACACACCGCCCGUCACACCAUGGGAGUCGGAAAUGCCCGAAGCCGGUGACCCAACCCGAAAGGGAGGGAGCCGUCGAAGGCAGGUCGGAUGACUGGGGUGAAGUCGUAACAAGGUAAC
rnacentral:rRNA from 1 species